rnacentral:rRNA from 1 species
GCUCAUUAUAUAAGUUAUCGUUUAUUUGAUAGUGCCUUACUACUUGGAUAACCGUGGUAAUUCUAGAGCUAAUACAUGCUACAAGCCCUGACUUCGGAAGGGGCGUAUUUAUUAGAUUAAAAGCCAAUGCCCUCUGGGCUCCUUGGUGAAUCAUGAUAACUUCACGAAUCGCACGGCCUUGCGCCGGCGAUGGCUCAUUCAAAUUUCUUCCCUAUCAACUUUCGAUGUUUGGGUAGUGGCCAAACAUGGUUGCAACGGGUAACGGAGGGUUAGGGCUCGACCCCGGAGAAGGAGCCUGAGACACGGCUACUACAUCCAAGGAAGGCAGCAGGCGCGCAAAUUACCCAAUCCCGAUUCGGGGAGGUAGUGACAAUAAAUACUGAUACAGGGCUCUUUCGGGUCUUGUAAUCGGAAUGAGUACAAUUUAAAUCCCUUAACGAGGAACAAUUGGAGGGCAAGUCUGGUGCCAGCAGCCGCGGUAAUUCCAGCUCCAAUAGCGUAUAUUAAAGUUGUUGUGGUUAAAAAGCUCGUAGUUGAACCUUGGGCCUGGCUGGCCGGUCCGCCUCACCGCGUGUACUGGUCCGGCCGGGCCUUUCCCUCUGUGGAACCUCAUGCCCUUCACUGGGUGUGCUGGGGAAACAGGACUUUUACUUUGAAAAAAUUAGAGUGCUCCAGGCAGGCCUAUGCUCGAAUACAUUAGCAUGGAAUAAUAAAAUAGGACGUGCGGUUUUAUUUUGUUGGUUUCUAAGACCGCCGUAAUGAUUAAUAGGGACAGUCGGGGGCAUCAGUAUUCAAUUGUCAGAGGUGAAAUUCUUGGAUUUAUUGAAGACUAACUACUGCGAAAGCAUUUGCCAAGGAUGUUUUCAUUAAUCAGGAACGAAAGUUAGGGGAUCGAAAACGAUCAGAUACCGUUGUAGUCUUAACCAUAAACUAUGCCGACUAGGGAUCGGACGAUGUUAUUUUUUGACUCGUUCGGCACCUUACGAGAAAUCAAAGUGCU